rnacentral:rRNA from 1 species
GAUGAACGCUGGCGGCGUGCCUAAUACAUGCAAGUCGAGCGAACAGAUGAGGAUCUUUCUCCUCUUACGUUAGCGGCGGACGGGUGAUGAACACGUGGAUAACCUACCUAUAAGACUGGGGUAAGUUCGGGAAACCUGAUCUAAUACCGGAUAAUAUAUUGAACCGCAUGGUUCAAUAGUGAAAGACGGUUUUGCUGUCACUUAGAGGUAUAUGCUCGCCGCAUUAGCUAGUUGGUAAGGUAACGGCUUACCAAGGCGACGAUGCGUAACCGGACUGAGAGGAUGAUCAGUCACACUGGAACUGAGACACGGUCCAGACUCCUACGGGAGGCAGCAGUGGGGAAUAUUGUACAAUGGGCGAAAGCCUGAUCCAGCCAUGCCGCGUGUGUGAAGAAGGUCUUCGGAUUGUAAAGCACUUUAAGUUGGGAGGAAGGGCAGUAAGUUAAUACCUUGCUGUUUUGACGUUACCAACAGAAUAAGCACCGGCUAACUUCGUG